rnacentral:rRNA from 1 species
AAAGGAAGAAGAUCUAAGAAUGCUUCUUUAAGAAGCUUUCUUGAUGGAGGGGAGUGGCAGACGGGUGAGUAACGCGUGGGAACAUACCCUUUUCUACGGAAUAGCUCUGGGAAACUGGAAUUAAUACCGUAUACGCCCUACGCGGGAAAGAUUUAUCGGGGAAGGAUUGGCCCGCGUUGGAUUAGCUAGUUGGUGGGGUAAAGGCCUACCAAGGCGACGAUCCAUAGCUGGUCUGAGAGGAUGAUCAGCCACAUUGGGACUGAGACACGGCCCAAACUCCUACGGGAGGCAGCAGUGGGGAAUAUUGGACAAUGGGCGCAAGCCUGAUCCAGCCAUGCCGCGUGAGUGAUGAAGGCCUUAGGGUUGUAAAGCUCUUUCACCGAUGAAGAUAAUGACGGUAGUCGGAGAAGAAGCCCCGGCUAACUUCGUGCCAGCCGCCGCAGUAAGAC